UUACUUACCUGCCAGGGGAAAUAUACCGUGAUCACGAAGGUGGUUUUUCCAAGGUGAGGCUCACCCAUUGCAGUCUGGGUGUGCUGACCCCUGCGAUGUCCCCAAAUGCGGGAAACUCAACUGCAUAAUUUGUGACAGUGGGGAUGCGUUUGUGUUCUCCCCU